ensembl:lncRNA
CCACCCCCACCCACGCCAGCUGCACCGCACAUCUCUGAGGAAUAAAAAAGGAGAAUUCACUUGGUUGUGACCGAAACUUUGCCUUGAAAUGCAAUCACUUUGCCCAUUGCCUGGUGUCUCAAGAAUUCUGUACUGUGGCGAAGCGAGUCUAACAAGCUCUCCGGCCGCGCCAAGCCAGGCCCUUUAUCUGUGCUCUCUCUGUCAGGCAGAAAGACAUGGAUGGACACUAACUGAGUUCUGUGUGCCUGAUGAAUCAUCCACUGUAGACUGUCGGAUUUUGUAAUAGGCCUUUUAUCUUCCUCCAUUUUGGCAGGGGUGUUUGUGCCUUAAGAAACGUGUUUUUUUUUGUUGUUGUUUUAUUUUUUGAAGGGACAUUUUCCUUCUAGAAGCAUAUUUUACUUCCCGUGAGGAUCACACUGGAUCUCUGUGCAACAGUGAAUAGCACUAAAGAGUUAGUGUCAGAAAGAUGUCGGGAGGUAGGGGGUCAGAGAAUGGAAGAAAAUGUGGGUAAUGGCUGCAACAAAGAGACCAACCUGCAUUGGAGUGUUGAGAGAUUGCACAGGGGUAUUGAGAGGAUGCACAGGGGUGUUGAGAGGUUGCACAGGGGUGUUGAGAGGUUGCACAGGGAUGUUGAGAGGAUGCACAGGGAUGUUGCACAGGGGUAUUUAGAGGUUGCACAGGGGUAUUU